GGCGAACGGGUGAGUAAUGAAUCGCUAACGUGCCCCGGACUCCGGGACAGCUGCCCGAAAGGGCAGGUAAUACCGGAUGACAUGACCGACCCGCAUGGGUUGGUCCUCAAAGGUCCGCCGGUCUGGGAGCGGGCGAUUUCGUAUCAGCUAGUUGGUAGGGUAACGGCCUACCAAGGCGAUGACGCGUAGCCGGACUGAGAGGUUGGCCGGCCACAUUGGGACUGAGACACUGCCCAGACUCCUACGGGGGGCUGCAGUAACGAAUCUUCCGCAAUGCACGCAAGUGUGACGGAGCGACGCCGCGUGUGGGACGAAGUUCUUCGGAAUGUAAACCACUGUCAGGGGAAAGAAAGUUCUGAUCUACCCCGGAGGAAGAGGCGGCUAACUCUGUGCCAGCAGCCGCGGUAAUACAGAGGCCUCGAGCGUUAGGCGGAAUCACUGGGCUUAAAGCGUGUGUAGGCGGAUGCCUAAGUACCUUGUGAAAUCCCACGGCUCACCCGUGGAACUGCUCGGUAUACUGGGCGUCUUGAGCCACCUAGGGGCUACCGGGACAAAUGGUGGAGCGGUGAAAUGCGUAGAUAUCAUUUGGAACGCCAACGGAGAAAUCAGGUAGCUGGGGGUGUGCUGACGCUGAGACACGAAAGCCAGGGGAGCGAACGGGAUUAGAUACCCCGGUAGUCCUGGCCGUAAACGGUGUCGACUAGAUCGUGGGCCUCUGACGGCGUCACGGUCGAAGCAAAAGUGCUAAGUCGACCGCCUGGGAAGUACGGUCGCAAGGCUAAAACUCAAAGGAAUUGACGGGGGCUCACAC
rnacentral:rRNA from 1 species